rnacentral:rRNA from 1 species
ACGGGAGGCAGCAGUGAGGAAUAUUGGUCAAUGGUCGGAAGACUGAACCAGCCAAGUCGCGUGCAGGAAGACGGUCCUAUGGAUUGUAAACUGCUUUUGUACGGGAAUAAAGUGCGGGACGUGUCCCGUUUGGAAUGUACCGUAAGAAUAAGGGUCGGCUAACUCCGUGCCAGCAGCCGCGGUAAUACGGAGGACCCGAGCGUUAUCCGGAUUUAUUGGGUUUAAAGGGUGCGUAGGCGGACGCGUAAGUCAGCGGUGAAAUAUCCCGGCUCAACCGGGAGGCUGCCGUUGAUACUGCGCGACUCGAGUCCAAACGGCGCCGGCGGAAUAUGUAAUGUAGCGGUGAAAUGCAUAGAUAUUACAUAGAACACCGAUCGCGAAGGCAGCUGGCGAGGAUGGCACUGACGCUGAGGCACGAAGGCGUGGGGAUCAAACAGGAUUAGAUACCCUGGUA